rnacentral:rRNA from 1 species
AACGAACGCUGGCGGCAUGCCUAACACAUGCAAGUCGAACGAGAUCUUCGGGUCUAGUGGCGCACGGGUGCGUAACGCGUGGGAAUCUGCCCUUUGGUUCGGAAUAACAGUUGGAAACGACUGCUAGUACCGGAUGAUGACGAAAGUCCAAAGAUUUAUCGCCAGAGGAUGAGCCCGCGUAGGAUUAGCUAGUUGGUGUGGUAAAGGCGCACCAAGGCGACGAUCCUUAGCUGGUCUGAGAGGAUGAUCAGCCACACUGGGACUGAGACACGGCCCAGACUCCUACGGGAGGCAGCAGUGGGGAAUAUUGGACAAUGGGCGAAAGCCUGAUCCAGCAAUGCAGCGUGAGUGAUGAAGGCCUUAGGGUUGUAAAGCUCUUUUACCCGGGAUGAUAAUGACAGUACCGGGAGAAUAAGCUCCGGCUAACUCCGUGCCAGCAGCCGCCGUAA